GAUGAACGCUGGCGGCGUGCCUAAUACAUGCAAGUCGAACGCAUUGUGGUUGAAAUGAUAUGAAGAACUUGUUCAGGUUUGAUUUUCAACAUUGCAAUGAGUGGCGAACGGGUGAGUAACACGUGGGAAACCUACCUCUUAGCAGGGGAUAACAUUUGGAAACAAAUGCUAAUACCGUAUAAUAAUUAAAACCGCAUGGUUUUAGUUUAAAAGAUGGUCUUGCUAUCACUAAGAGAUGGUCCCGCGGUGUAUUAGUUAGUUGGUGAGGUAAUGGCUCACCAAGACAAUGAUACGUAGCCGAGUUGAGAGACUGACCGGCCACAAUGGGACUGAGACACGGCCCAUACUCCUACGGGAGGCAGCAGUAGGGAAUCUUCCACAAUGGACGAAAGUCUGAUGGAGCAACGCCGCGUGUGUGAUGAAGGGUUUCGGCUCGUAAAACACUGUUGUAAGAGAAGAAUGACAUUGAGAGUAACUGUUCAAUGUGUGACGGUAUCUUACC
rnacentral:rRNA from 1 species